UGAGCUCCCAGAAUAGGCAAGCUGUGCUGACAAGAUCAGAAGGUUACUAUCAGAACCGUCAGCUCCAGUUUGCUGCAAGAUCUGAACUGGCAAAAUGGAUCUCAUGAACUACUGUGUGUUCCCCACUUAACUCAUCUUCAAAACCAAGUAUGUGGGUGAAUCAGAAUUUUAGAACUAAAAUUAUAACCAGAAUCUCUGCUAUAAGCCAGGAACAUGAAACGUUUAGUUUCCCAGUGUCUAUAUUAAAGGAAGAUACACCAGCAGGAUCUUGUACCAUAUUUUGAAUAGGCCAGUCUACUGAAUCUACCACAAUCAUCAGCAUUCUAAGAUUCAGCUGAGGACAAGACCCUGGCACUUAAUAGAAUAGAAGUGACUGAAAAUUGAAUGAUGAUUCCUGUGGAGAGUAUAAAAUAGUCUCGAGUAUAAAGAAGAGGAUGAAGGCUUAAGCAGGAAACUUUGACAGCUCCAAAGACCUUAAUCCUUAUAAAGAAGUAAUGAAGUUUCAACUUUGCACUCAGGUUUUCAAGAAACCUUUGCAACUUUAACAUAGCAUUUUGAGGAGUAAAAGUGACACCUGGAAAAAGCCAUCCUUGAGAACUAACUCCCCACAAACUGAUCAGAUGUCACAACUGUGAUUUUUCUUCAGAGAGAGCAAAACUAUGGGUUAAGAUGUGUUUGGAAGGCAGAAAUCUGACCAAGAGUCUGUCAUGAGGAGCAGACAUACAGAAGAAUGAUUCACAAGAAGACCUCCUUUCUGUGCAUUGAACAUCUAUCCACAGAGCACAUCUUCAUUACUAGGGGAGAGCAUCCAUCAGCUGACAUGGUGGUGGCAGCAUGGUCACAACUGAGGUGCGGCUUCAGAAAGGAGAGCUUUUCAAUAGUUAGAUUAUUACAGGGCCCAACUAAAUGCCUCAAAUUCCCAGGAAUGUAGAUAAUAACAAUUAUGCCUCUUUCUCUCUUUUCCUCACAGACAAAAAGGUAACUUAUGUUGCAUAAUUAUAAAAAAUUCCAAAAUAAAAAUUUGAAAUAUACAGGACACUUCAAAUAAUACAUCUACAUGUUUUGAAUCAUCUUCCUAAAGCCCAAAUAUUGUUGUUGUGUACCCAGGCACAGUAGGGAGCUGAUCAUUACAAAUGACAGCAACAACAUUUUAAAAUUAUAAAUCUUAAGAAUAUUUAAAUAAAUGUAUAGCAACUAAUAAAAUUGAAAGCAAAAUGUAUACUAACUUAAUUUAUAUUUUAUUAGCAGAUAUUUGUCUUUUAAAACUGUUUAUUAGUAAAUUUAAAUUAUGUAAAAUUUUGCAUGUAUAUCUUAGGAUGGCAGAUAUAUCUUGAGGUCAUAUUAUUCCCCUUAUUUGCAGGUAGAGUCAAAUAUCCAUUUUUUUGUUGGCUUCUCAUCCUACUGACUUUGUAUUAACUUGACUUGUAUUCAUUAUUUAAAUUAAAAAUGAAAUGGAAAUUCCAUAAUGGGAAUUACCUCCCAUUGUUAGAUUUAAGUUUCAGUCAACAGAAUCUCUCAUUUUCAUCAAGAAAUUUUUUAAACGCGUGGGCACAAUAUUCCUAUUCUUUCUUUUAAAAACUCAACUCCUGCACUUCAGCUUAAGCAACAGAGUUAAGACCCUGUCUUAAAAAACAAAACAAAACAAAAUAAAA
ensembl:lncRNA LINC01378 long intergenic non-protein coding RNA 1378